rnacentral:rRNA from 1 species
GACAGAGGGUGCAAGCGUUGUUCGGAAUUAUUGGGCGUAAAGCGCGCGUAGGCGGCGGGGUAAGUCGAAUGUGAAAGCCCGUGGCUCAACCACGGAAGUGCAUUCGAAACUGCCUUGCUUGAGUAUCGGAGAGGGUGGUGGAAUUCCCAGUGUAGAGGUGAAAUUCGUAGAUAUUGGGAGGAACACCAGUGGCGAAGGCGACCACCUGGACGAUAACUGACGCUGAGGCGCGAGAGCGUGGGGAGCAAACAGG